GACGAACGCUGGCGGCGUGCUUAACACAUGCAAGUCGAACGGAAAGGCCCUGCUUUUGUGGGGUGCUCGAGUGGCGAACGGGUGAGUAACACGUGAGUAACCUGCCCUUGACUUUGGGAUAACUUCAGGAAACUGGGGCUCAUACCGGAUAGGAGCUCCUGCUGCAUGGUGGGGGUUGGAAAGUUUCGGCGGUUGGGGAUGGACUCGCGGCUUAUCAGCUUGUUGGUGGGGUAGUGGCUUACCAAGGCUUUGACGGGUAGCCGGCCUGAGAGGGUGACCGGCCACAUUGGGACUGAGAUACGGACCAGACUCCUACGGGAAGCAGCAGUGGGGAAUAUUGCACAAUGGGCGGAAGCCUGAGGCAGAAACGCCGCGUGCGGGAUGAGGGCCUUCGGGGUGUAAACCGAAUUCGCCUGUGACGAAGCGUGAGUGACGGUAAUGGGUAAAGAAGCACCGGCUAACUACGUG
rnacentral:rRNA from 1 species